GACGAACGCUGGCGGCGUGCUUAACACAUGCAAGUCGAACGGAAAGGCCCUGCUUUUGUGGGGUGCUCGAGUGGCGAACGGGUGAGUAACACGUGAGUAACCUGCCCUUGACUUUGGGAUAACUUCAGGAAACUGGGGCUAAUACCGGAUAGGAGCUCCUGCUGCAUGGUGGGGGUUGGAAAGUUUCGGCGGUUGGGGAUGUACUCGCGGCUUAUCAGCUUGUUGGUGGGGUAGUGGCGUACCAAGGCUUUGACGGGUAGCCGGCCUGAGAGGGUGACCGGCCACAUUGGGACUGAGAUACGGCCCAGACUCCUACGGGAGGCAGAAGUGGGGAAUAUUGCACAAUGGGCGGAAGCCUGAUGCAGCAACGCCGCGUGCGGGAUGACGGCCUUCGUGUUGUAAACCGCUUUCGCCUGUGACGAAGCGUGAGUGACGGUAAUGGGUAAAGAAGCACCGGCUAACUACGUG
rnacentral:rRNA from 1 species